rnacentral:rRNA from 1 species
CAGCAGCCACGGUAAUACGUAGGGUGCGAGCGUUAAUCGGAAUUACUGGGCGUAAAGCGUGCGCAGGCGGCUGUGUAAGACAGGUGUGAAAUCCCCGGGCUUAACCUGGGAACUGCGCUUGUGACUGCACAGCUAGAGUAUGGCAGAGGGGGGUGGAAUUCCACGUGUAGCAGUGAAAUGCGUAGAGAUGUGGAGGAACACCGAUGGCGAAGGCGACUUUCUGGACGAAAACUGACGCUCAUGCACGAAAGCGUGGGGAGCAAACAGGAUUAGAUACCCGUGUAGUCCCUGUCUCUUAUAC